AGACGAACGCUGGCGGCGUGCUUAACACAUGCAAGUCGAACGAUGAUGCCCAGCUUGCUGGGUGGAUUAGUGGCGAACGGGUGAGUAACACGUGAGUAACCUGCCCCUGACUCUGGGAUAAGCGUUGGAAACGACGUCUAAUACUGGAUAUGAUCACUGGCCGCAUGGUCUGGUGGUGGAAAGAUUUUUUGGUUGGGGAUGGACUCGCGGCCUAUCAGCUUGUUGGUGAGGUAAUGGCUCACCAAGGCGACGACGGGUAGCCGGCCUGAGAGGGUGACCGGCCACACUGGGACUGAGACACGGCCCAGACUCCUACGGGAGGCAGCAGUGGGGAAUAUUGCACAAUGGGCGAAAGCCUGAUGCAGCAACGCCGCGUGAGGGAUGACGGCCUUCGGGUUGUAAACCUCUUUUAGUAGGGAAGAAGCGAAAGUGACGGUACCUGCAGAAAAAGCACCGGCUAACUACGUGCCAGCAGCCGCGGUAAUACGUAGGGUGCAAGCGUUGUCCGGAAUUAUUGGGCGUAAAGAGCUCGUAGGCGGUUUGUCGCGUCUGCUGUGAAAUCCCGAGGCUCAACCUCGGGCUUGCAGUGGGUACGGGCAGACUAGAGUGCGGUAGGGGAGAUUGGAAUUCCUGGUGUAGCGGUGGAAUGCGCAGAUAUCAGGAGGAACACCGAUGGCGAAGGCAGAUCUCUGGGCCGUAACUGACGCUGAGGAGCGAAAGCAUGGGGAGCGAACAGGAUUAGAUACCCUGGUAGUCCAUGCCGUAAACGUUGGGCGCUAGAUGUAGGGACCUUUCCACGGUUUCUGUGUCGUAGCUAACGCAUUAAGCGCCCCGCCUGGGGAGUACGGCCGCAAGGCUAAAACUCAAAGGAAUUGACGGGGGCCCGCACAAGCGGCGGAGCAUGCGGAUUAAUUCGAUGCAACGCGAAGAACCUUACCAAGGCUUGACAUACACCGGAAACGGCCAGAGAUGGUCGCCCCCUUGUGGUCGGUGUACAGGUGGUGCAUGGUGUCGUCAGCUC
rnacentral:rRNA from 1 species